GAUGAACGCUGACAGAAUGCUUAACACAUGCAAGUCUACUUGAACUUCGGUUUGGGUGGCGGACGGGUGAGUAACGCGUAACGAACUUGCCUCACAGAUAGGGACAACAUUUGGAAACGAAUGCUAAUACCUGAUAUUAUGAUUUUAGGGCAUCCUAGAAUUAUGUCAGCUAUAUGCACUGUGAGAGAGCUUUGCGUCCCAUUAGCUAGUUGGAGAGGUAACGGCUCACCAAGGCGAUGAUGGGUAGCCGGCCUGAGAGGGUGAUCGGCCACAAGGGGACAGAGACACGGCCCUUACUCAUACGGGAGGCAGCAGUGAGGAAUAUUGGAAAAUAGACCAAGAGUCUGAUCCAGCAAUUCUGUGUGCACGAUGAAGUUUUUCGGAAUGUAAAGUGCUUUCAGUUGGGAAGAAAAAAAUGACGGUACCAACAGAAGAAGUGACGGCUAAAUACGUG
rnacentral:rRNA from 1 species